GGAGGCGGCGGCGGCAGGGGGAGGGGAGAAAGGGAGGGAGGGGACCGGCGCAGCCACAUCGUCAGGCCGCCGGGCCCAGCCCGCAGCCGCCCGAGCGCGGUGGAGGAGACAGAGGGGAGGGUGCAGACCCUUGGCGCCUUACCGGAGCGCUGCACCGCCGCACCCUCGGGCCGCUGUUCAAUCGCUCCCUCACUCGCUAUCUCGGCCGUCGGACUCCGCCGCCGCCCCGCCGCUCCAGCUCCGUCUGUCACAGGAGCUGCCCCAGCGCCCUGACGUCACCGCGCCGCCGCCGCCCCAGACCCGCCAGGAAGAGGGAGGGGAGCGGAGGAGGGGCUGCGGCGCAUGCGCGGGCGCGGCUGGGCCCCUGAGUCGCCGUCUUCGUCCUGGCGAGCGGGCGAUCGCGGCCAGUGCUACUUGGCGCGGGGACCAGUCGGCGCCCCUGCAUCCCGGCCCCGGUAGGUUCCAGAGUAAGAAAGCCCGGGCCAGGCUAUCGCCCAUUCUGCCUGCGGCCUGCUGUAUUAUCACCACCCCGCCAAAAAGAAAGGGAAGUAGGUUGGUUUGCUUGGGAGGGGGAGCGGUUGAGGUUAAAACAAGCAGAUGAAAUGCCUUCGUUCUCUUCCUUUUUAUUAUAGAUCUUUAAUUGGGAGGAUUCGCUUUUAGAUGUGAUUCAGCUGUUAUUUUCCUUAGUCACACACCACGCAUCAGAGACUCUAGAAGUCUCGAAACUGACUCCCAAAGAAAGACCUGGAACUUUAUCCCUACAAGGAAUAUCGGCGAUUGUGGGUGAUCAUCUCCUGGAAGCAAGAAGUCAUGGAGGAGAACUCUUCUGCAGGAUAGGAGGAGAAAAAGGGUCUCUGUAUGUAGCCAAGUUGGCCUCAAACUCACCAGGAUUCUUCUGCCUCAGCCUCCCAAGUGACGGGAUUACAGGUUCUUGAGUGCUGGGAUUAACAGGCAUGUGCCACCGUGUCCAGCCUAUGAUGAACAUUUCUGAACAUAAUUUUUUGUUACAUUGUGCUGCUUACUUCCUUAAGAUAGAACCCCAAAAUUAGGGUUACUAGGCCAAAAGAUAAGGUCUUUUAAUUUGUUUAUUUGUUUGUACUGGGAAUUGAACCCAGGGCCUUCACACUGUGCUACAUCUCUGGUUUGUUUGUUUGUUUAUUUAUUUAUUUAUUUACAUAUAAAUUUUGAAACUAGAUCUCACUAAGUUGAUAGACAGCUCAAGAUGAGCUCAAAUUUGCAAUCCUCCUGCCUCAACCUCUCAGAGGGCUGGGUUUAUAGUCAUGCUCAACCAUACCCAGCCCUUUCUUCUUUUUAAAUCGACUACCUCGGGUUUUUUGGGUUUGUUUUGUUUUGGUUUUUUAUUUUUUUGAGACAGGGUCUCACUAUGUAGCCCAGGCUGGCCUCCAACUCAUGACGAUCCUCCUGCCUCAGCCUCCCAGGUGCUAGGAUUACAGGCAUGUACCACCAUACCCAGCUUAUCUCAGGUAUUUUGUCACAGUGAUGGAAAGCUGACUAACACAACUGUGAUGAAAUGGCACACCUGGAUUUGAGCAACAAUGAUACAGUAGAAGGAGGAUUUAUACUAUCUGGAUUUGAACAUCAAUGUAAUCUGAAUUUUGUUAUAAGGUGAAUGUAUUCUUACACUCUCUGGGCCAGUUGAAGCCAGAGCUGCAGGCAGUUCUAGCCCAUGAGAACUGCCAAUAUCAUAAAAUGGGCCACACAGGGAAACACUGCAGAGGUGCAGUGGCACAUGCUGAAGCAGAGGGAUUACAAAUUUAAGACCAGCCUAGUCAACUGAGACUCUCAAAAUACAUAAAAAGGGCUGACAAUGUAGCUCAGUGGUAGAGUGCUUACCUAGCAUGCACAAGACCUUCAGUUCAAUCCCCCUACUGGGGGGAGAAAAGUUAAAAAAAAAAACCAAACAAAUAAUCUCAUGGAUUGUACACUCUAGAUCUAGUUAUUCUGAAACUAUUUCCAUACUUUGUUCUUUAUAAGAUUUAGAAAUAUGAGCUACUAAAACAAAAAAGAAAAAGAAAAAGUAUGAGCUACUAAAUUUAACCCCACUCCCCUCCACUAGUUUUUUAGGUUUGUUUGUUUAUUUGUUUGGGGUUUUUUGAGACUAUGUCUUGCCCUGUAGUCCUGGAUGGCCUUGAACUUUCGACAGUCCUCCUGCCUCAGCCUCCAGAGUGCUGGGAUUACAGGCUUGCAUUUGGCUAGUUUUUCUUAAAGUAGUUUGAAUUUGACUUGCAAUAGAAAGAAUCUUGGCCUAUAUUUAGGCAUGGAAGUAGGAAAAGAUAUCAGAUAUUAGAAUAAAUUUAUAUAAAAUAGUAUUUUAGCUGGUCAUAGUGGUGCACAUCUUUAGUCCCUCCUACUGGAGAGCCAGAGGCAAGAUCACUUGAGAUCAAGAGUUUGAGAUCAGCCUAGGCAACAUAGUAAAACCUUAUUUCAGGAAAACAAACAGUCCCACAAGGUGGCAUACACCUGUAAUACCAGCACUCAAGAGGCUAAUGCAAGAGGGUCACUGCAAGUUUGAGCCCAGCGUGUGCUACAUAGUGAGUUUAAGGCCAGCCUGGACUACAUAACAAGACCCUGUCUCUAAAAACCAAAGGGGAUGGGGGAAAGAAAAACAAACAAAACAAAAUAAAGAAAUAAAAUAGCAUUAAAAAUAUGAACCACUGGCCAUGGUGGCAUAUGCCUGUAAUCCUAGCACUUGGGAGGUUGAGGCAGGAUUGUCAUGAGUUCAAGGUCAGCCUGGGUUACAUAAUGAGUUCACAGCCAGCCUGAACUAUAGAGUGAGACUCUAUCUCAAAAAUAAAUGAAUAAACCAAUACCAUGUAGAAGUAUAGUUUGAAAUUACUAAAUAUACUGUCAAAAAGCAAGCUAUAGAAUGGAAAGAAAUUUUUAUAUGCAAGUGAUAUGUAGGAUAUAUAAAAAAGUACAACAGCAAAUAAUUUAAUAACUUGAUUUGAAAAUGACCAAAAGAUUUCAGCCUUCCAAAAAUGAUACACAAAUGGCCAAGAAGUAUAUGAGAUAGGAAACAGGGACAUAGCUCUUUUACAAAUGGGAAGGGGACCGAGAGAUGAAGGAAAGGGUGUGGGGGGAAGGGGACAUAAAAAGAAUGAAGAAUUAAAAUGUGUUACAUACAUGUACCAACUUCCCAUGAUGAAUGUAAUCAUUAUGUACUGCAAACGUACUAAUAAAAAUUAAAAAUUUUAUAAAGAAGCAUAUGAAUAGAUAGAUAUCACUAAUCAGAAGAGAAAUGCAAAUUAAAACCAGAUGCUACUUCACACCCAUUAUGAUGGCUACUGUGGAAGGAAAAAGGAAAGAGGAAGGAAGGGAGAGGGGCAGGGAAGAAGAAAAGAGAUCUGUCUUGUGUUCCCUAUCAUGAAUGUAUCACCUUGUAUUUAACCAUUCCCUACUGAUAAAUUUUAAAUUGUUUUAGUUUUUUUUCUAUUAAAAAAUCUCAAUAAAUAUUAUCAUUCAAUGAA
rnacentral:lncRNA from 1 species